GCCUGGAUAGCUCAGUUGGGUAGAGCGUGAUGCUGAUAACGCCAAGGUUGAAAGUUCGAUCCCCCAUAUGGGUCA